GCUGUCACUUUAAAACCCAGGCAUCGGGUCCACAUUGGUGACUGUGAGGAUUCUGAUGGGCCUUCUGAAUAGUCUUCAGCACAGCUGUGUCCCGUGGGAUCCCUGGUUGGGGAUUGAGGAACCAUGUAUACUGUGUGAAGAAAGCUGAUCAUGGAACUACUUUAGAUGAGAAAUGGAAAGAACUUCAAAGAGAAAUGGGAAAGGAAUUUGCAAAUGCAAAAGAAUGAUUGAGAAGAGACAAUAAGUCAUGCAAGUACAUUGGGCAGGGCCUGGGGAGUGCUUUGGUCAUGACUAAGGACUUUGCAGGUUUAUAAAGAAUGAGUUUCUAUAGCAUAACUUUUUGAUCAAAGAGAAACACAACCUCAAUCACUUUUUAUUUUUUUCCCUUUUUUCCUCUUGCUCUUCCAUUUCUUGAAAGUAAUUUACAUUGUAAAAUACAUUGGUAAUUUAUCUGGCUGGUAGAAGAAGGUGCUCUUAAUGUUGUAGCCACCCUUAGACUUUGGGUCUACUGAGUUUGAGUCUAUUCUAAACUGCUCUUCUUCCUUCCUUCACUUCUAUCUAUGCACUUGAAUACCAAUUCUGAGCUCAAGAUCUGGAGGUAUAACACAUGAAUAAGAAGAUCUCUGUAUAGUGCUAAGAAAGUUUACCACUUAAACAAAUGUAUGCAAAGCAGCUCCAAGAAGACAGGCUCUGAGGGGACCAGGCAGAGAGCCUGGUCUGAAAAGGGAGGUGCUGGUGAGGAGUAAAUGAGACAAUGUCUUCAAAGGACUCAGCAGGAUCUCUGGCACAGGAUGAAGAAAACUUUGUCACUAUUCUUUGUGACCACUGUAGUCCUUGAAUAACACACAGUUUACUUGGCUUGGGGGUCACGUUGACUAUCAAACUGCAAACCAACAGGCCAUGAAGAAAGGCUGCAUAGCCCUCUACUUUCCAGAGAAGAGCAGCCCAUGCUGGACUUCAUGUCUGGGCACAGGCCUACUUUUUUAUUAUUCCUCUGUAACUGCUGAGCUAUUGGACAACCACCAACAGUAAUAUCUAAGUUUGUCUUGGUAUGACCUAAGGGAUCUGUGCAUAGUCUGCAUCCCUGCCACCAGGGUAUUUUGUUCGUGAGUUGAUUGUACUAGCAUUGGAGUGGGCAGAGAG